GGUUUCCGUAGGUGAACCUGCGGAAGGAUCAUUGUCGAAUCCUGCCUAGCAGACGACCGCGAACAAGUUGUAAAAUCACGGGUUGCAGGCGGGCUCGGGAAACCUCGCCCGUUGGCAAUCUCGUCCCACUUAACUCUCGGCGCGGAAUGCGCCAAGGACCACUCAAAAUGGAUUGCCUGCACCGUUGCGGAUUCCGCAAUGCGUGCUGGGCAUCUUGUCGCUUAACAAAACGACUCUCGGCAACGGAUAUCUAGGCUCUCGCAUCGAUGAAGAACGUAGCGAAAUGCGAUACUUGGUGUGAAUUGCAGAAUCCCGUGAACCAUCGAGUUUUUGAACGCAAGUUGCGCCCGAAGCCAUUAGGCUGAGGGCACGUCUGCCUGGGCGUCACGCAUCCAGUCGCCACCCCCUCUCGAGUCUUCGGUGCGGGGUGACGGACGUUGGCCUCCCGUGCCCUCGAGGCGCGGCCGGCCUAAAUUCGAGUCCUCGGUGCGAGGAGUCACGACAAGUGGUGGUUGAACUCGUCAACUCUUGUGCUGUCGCGACCGCGCCCGACGAGGACUCCCUCGACCCUAGUGCCCUCGACGCAAAGAUUGAGUCACGGGCCUUCGACCGCGACCCCAGGUCAGGCGGGAUUACCCGC
rnacentral:rRNA from 2 species